CCAAAGGCUCUUUUAAGAGCCGCCCAAAUUCACCUUAAGAGUUUUU
rnacentral:ncRNA from 1 species